rnacentral:lncRNA from 1 species
CUGAUUAAAUGUUUCAAACAUAAUACAAAUAUAUGAAUAUAUCAAAAUACACAUUGUAACACCCCAAACCCGGCCCAGAAGUUAUGGCUGGAUCCGACAUGCCACAUCAAAAACGUAAAAAAAAAAAAUUCAUUCUAAGUCCAGAAAAUCGUACUUGAUGUUCAAAAGAUUAAUUCAUUAAGGGUUAAAGUGAAUGGAAGCUGUGCACCAGGUAGGAAACAGGAAAAGAGGUGGUGAGUCCAUCGGACUGCUUAAGUACCAAGCUCCCUUCGAAUCCAAUCCUAGACAUGCAUACCGCCAUUGCCAUACCUUAACGUUAUGGAUAUUUCUAGGAAACCGAUUUUGAUUAAGUCAUUUUUAGGAAAAGUGAUUAAUUUUGGAAAAUACUUUCAUUGCGGAAGCUUUGCUUGUUGUCGUAUUAUUUUGAAAUCAAUUAUUGUUUUUGAAAACGCGCCCUAAAGCUAUCCAAUUUCAACAGUUAAAAUAAGUAUUACCUAUCUUAGUAAUACAUAUUAAAACCAUCAAAAAUAAUUAAGCGGCCUUAUUACAUUUAAAAGCCUAAAAACUUCAAACGUAAAUAAAAGGAUGUCCAGUUCACCAGAAGAAAAAUCAAACUUUCAGAACGGGUGGCCACUCCGAAUUCCCUCACAGCUCCAAGCCCACUAUGGUUGGGGAUUUCCUGCGUGGAUGAAAAUAAAAGGGGUGAGUUUGGGGAAACUCAGUGUGUAAGGAAAACCCAUUCAAAGCCCAAGUUAGCUCAAGCCCAUUGGGCCUAAGCCCAUUCAGGUAACAGUGGUACUGGGCCAGAGCCCUUUUCAGAUUACAAUAAACUGGGCCUUAGCCCCUUAUUCAGAUAACAGUAUGGCCCAUAGGCCCAUUUCAAAAUACAUGCAACAUCAGUAAAUAUAUGCAAGCCCAUUUGGGUAACAGUGGUACUGGGCUAGAGCCCUUUUCAGAUUACAAUAAACUGGGCCUUAGCCCCUUAUUCAGAUAACAGUAUGGUCCAUAGGCCCAUUUCAAAAUACAUGCAACAUCAAUAACAUAUGCAAGCUCAUUUGGGGAGACUACUCAACCCACCAACCACUACACUCCACCCGUACCAGCCAUACACUUCAUGUGGGGAAUAGCUCAACCCACCCAGCCCAACACUCCAUAGUAGCAGCCUUGCUGUUCAGUUGACAGUAAAUUGAGGCAAAGCCUCCAAUACGUGGACAAGCCACUUUCAGUACUUCCUCCGUCAAUAUCCCAGUCCCAUGCAUCAGAUAACAACAACAUGGCAUGCAGUAAAUAACAACAGUCAAACAUGCAUUUAGGUCAAUUUAACCCUAGGGGUAUUUCGGUAAUUUAUCUCCUAGGGGUAAAACUGUAAAUUUUCCACUUUUAAAGAUAUUUCAGUAAUUGAUCUAUUUUAGGGUUUUUCAUGCAUAUUCCUACCUUUCACGUACUAACAGAAUCACUACCGAGGGUUCUUACCGAAUUGGGCCCGUUGGCCCAUCAUUCCAAUUUUGGCCCAUUAAGCCCAAAAAUAUCGAGGGCACAGAAAUCAUGCACUUUGCAAUCCAAAUUUUGCAGUUUACCAAAACCAUUAAUCGAUUUACCUUACGAGCAUUCGCACACUCGCAAAUCUACAAAAUACCGGUUUUCGGCAUUUCGGCUUUUCGACUUUUACCGAUCCAGACUAAGAAAGAGGGUGUUAGUUACACACCUGUUUGCGACGAUAUGCUGACGAGAUCCACACACGAACCGCCUACAAUUGGAUUACUAACACGUUAAUCUAACUAUUCAAAUACAAACUACGUAUUAACCCCUUACAAAAUUCGGCCAACCACACCUACAGAUCGUAGUAAGCUUAUUAGAAAUCAAUAAGCAACUCAUUAACAAAUUUUUGUCAAUGUUUACCACAUAAUCAUAAUUUCACUGCAAGCUGUCUUCCUAAGCAACAGUCACUAAAUUAUUUAUAACUGGAGCUACGAAACUCCAAAUCAAGUUCCGUUAAUUUUCCCUGAAAAUAGACUCAUAUAUAUUCUAUCCAUAAAAUUUUCAGAAUUUUUGGUUUAGCCAAUCAAUACCAGAUUUUUCUCAAAGUUUCCCAUGUUUCACUGUUUGACUAAUUUGACCACUCUUCAUUACGAAUCAAAUUUCUCAUUGUACAGAAUUAAAAAUAUGUUCUUGUUUAUUUCAUUAGAAACUAGACUCAAUAAGCUUUAAUUACAUAAUUUAUUCAGCUUCUAAUUCAUCUCCCACAAUUUAUGGUGAUUUUCCAAAGUCACGUUACUGCUGCUGUCCCAAGCAGAUUUAUUACCAAAUCACUCUUUCAUACACCUAUCUUGCAUGCAUGUUAUUUAAACAUGUAUAUCACCAAUCAAUCAUCACAUAUCUAUGAUUUUUACUUAAGCAUAAUCUCCAUUUCAUCAUUUUAAAGCACAACAUGUUAGCCGAUUUUUCCCUUUAGCAUCUAAGGCACAUGCAUGCUCAUUUGUUUGGCUCAACUUCACAUAUCUUCCAUUUUUCAUCAAAAGAACAUGAAACAACAACCAUUUCCUUCAUUUUAAUUCAUGACCAAAUGCUCACAACACAACUAAAAAUCAAAAUAUACUUCAAGAGUUAAGGUAGAAUCAAUAAGAACUCGUGAACCUCAAAAUAGAAGCAAGGUACCAAGAACUUACCUUCAAUUUUCCUCCUCCUAAUGACCGAAUACUCAAGAGCUUUCUCCUCUCCUUUCUCUUCUCUAACUUUCAGCUAUGAUGAACAAAGAUGGACAAAACUUUGUUCUUUUCACCCCUUUUUCUUUUAAUAAAACUUCAUAUUUCAUCCAUUUAAUUCUUUAAUACAAAAGACAUGAAAUUCUUAUCAUGAAACAUUUACCUAACCCAUUAUCAUGAAACAUUUACCUAACCCAUUAUCAUGGAACAUUUACCUAACCUAUUAUCAAUUUGCAUCAAUUUGUACCAUAAAUUAUGGAUAUCAAGUGCACAUUUUGUCUACAACAACAUGAUGGCUGGCCACUUCAUGUAAAAUGGGAGGUUUGUCAUGCAAAUCCACCUAUUUUGCACUCCUAUUUAUUUGGCCACUUCAAUUUAGCCUAUAGCAUUUUCAAACAUUUUCACAUAGGUCCUAUUUCAUAAUUUCACCCCCUUUUUCUUAUGGAACAAAAAUUAACUAAAAUUGCCGGGUUCUAUCUUAAGCUUGGGCCUUCUAGAGGCCCACUAACAUAAUUAAACCUAUGCCAACAUUCUCAGAAUUCUUGAAAAUUGGGGCGUUACACACAUCUUAUAAAAUUUUAACCUCCUAAAUUUAUUUGAUAUAUAUAAAGGCCAUCAGAAUACAAAAUCACAAGUAAUCAUUUCUAAUAACCAUUCAUUUGGGUUGCCCUGUGUAAUGGGCCAAAUUCGUCCGGGCCCAACACAAUGGCCCAAUGCCCAAAAUAAGCCCAAACAACCUAAAAUUUUGGUCACUGGAAACCUUAGCAGCCUCCAACGUCGACUGCCCCCUCCAUACCUCCGUACCCAGUACCGUACGGCCUCCACGGGCCACGCACACCCGUAAACAGACAAGAAUAGCACUGCAAAACAGCAGUAGAGAGAAAAAAACAAAAAAUUCCUUGUAUUUUUCUUUUAUUUUCGGCUAUAUAGAAGCCCUAUGUUCAUGGAAAAAAGGGGGGGGGCAUACACACAUACAUUAUACGAAAACUGAAUAGAAACAUUCAAAAACAAUUUUUGAAGAGGUGAUCAUUCUUAGUCUUUUUAAUCUUUCUGUCAUUUUUAUCUAUUUUCCAUCGAUUGUUUUCAUCAUUUUCAUUUUAAAACAAAGGAGGGGAAAAAGCAAACCUUACCUUGCGAAUCGGCCAUGGAUCUCGAUUCGCUUCAUUGAAAUCGAAGCCGAAAGGGGAUCUAAAGGCAUCGUGGUGUUGGAAGGAAGGUUGAGUGGUGGCCGAAUAGGAGCAAACUUCUAGGUUUUUGGCUUUUUCAAUUUGUUCUGCCAAAAUAUUUGGCUUUUAAGAAGCACAGCACAAAGUGACGCUGUUUAUGGCUUGUAUUUGUAGCCUUGAAUUGGACAUGCCAAGCCCUUCCCCAUCGCACAAGUCUUUGAUUGCACCUUGUUUAUUUCAUUUGUUUUUUAAUUUGGUCUUGUAAUUUGUGCUUAUUUCCAACUGGGUCCGUGCCUCAACAAGGAUCUGGAAUAUUGCCAGUUUUACUCCUUAUGCAUUUAUGCACGUUGCACGCUGGUCCCCAUGUUGGUUUCUUUAUUUUUAAAUUAUCUCUCUCAUUUUAAUUCCAUCUU